rnacentral:rRNA from 1 species
CCUACGGGUGGCAGCAGUGAGGAAUAUUGGUCAAUGGACGAGAGUCUGAACCAGCCAAGUAGCGUGAAGGAUGACUGCCCUAUGGGUUGUAAACUUCUUUUAUAAAGGAAUAAAACGAGGCACGUGUGCCUUUUUGCAUGUACUUUAUGAAUAAGGAUCGGCUAACUCCGUGCCAGCAGCCGCGGUAAUACGGAGGAUCCGGGCGUUAUCCGGAUUUAUUGGGUUUAAAGGGAGCGUAGAUGGGUUGUUAAGUCAGUUGUGAAAGGUUGCGGCUCAACCGGAAAAUUGCAAUUGAGACUGGCAGUCUUGAGUACAGUUGAGGUAGGCGGAAUUCGUGGUGUAGCGGUGAAAUGCUUAGAUAUCACGAAGAACCCCGAUUGCGAAGGCAGCUUACUAAACUGUGACUGACAUUGAUGCUCGAAAGUGUGGGUAUCAAACAGGAUUAGAUACCCGAGUAGUC